rnacentral:rRNA from 1 species
UACAGAGGUGGCAAGCGUUGUUCGGAAUUACUGGGCGUAAGGGCGCGUAGGUGCCUUCUUAGUCAGACGUGAAAUCCCCGGGCUUAACUCGGGAACUGCGUCUGAUACUGGAAGGCUGGAGUUCGGGAGAGGAAUGUGGAAUUCCAGGUGUAGCGGUGAAAUGCGUAGAUAUCAGGAGGAACACCGGUGGCGAAGGCGGCUCUCUGGACCACGAACUGACGCUGAGGCGCGAAAGCUAGGGGAGCAAACAGG